rnacentral:misc_RNA from 1 species
GGUUUAUAUUGAAUUUAUCACUUUUUUUUUUUAACUAUUAAGGAGAAAACUAAAAGUAGUCACAUAUGUACUAUUACAUAUGUACACAGUUUCUAGCUUACAUGAAUUCUGCAGAACAGCACCACACUAUUGCUAUCAAUAAUUCACUAUACAACUGCUCACUACAUCAACCGACCAGCUAAUGAAGUUGCAACAUAUAAAUUUUAUUGGUAUUGGUUUCAAGCUUGCAUGUUGCACUGAAAAUUGGGAAAGGAUUUGGAAUUGAAAUUAUUAUCUCCAAGAAAUUUUAUCAUCAAACGAGAUUGUUUGCUAACAAGCAACUAAAACAAGAAAAAGAUAAAGGAAAAUUUGUAUAUAGGAUCAACCAUUUCUAGUUUUCU